UCAGCUCCUGCAAUGGAAUAUCGCCAUGGCAACUGAAAUGGCUGUGAUCCACUUCAGCUGGAUAACGGCAUGCUUACUACAAAAACGACACACAACAUUCUGCAAAGGAGCUACACUGACUGCUCCAUGUUCACAAGCAGUUUCACCAAAAAUAUAUAUUUUCCGAACAGUGCCGAGCCUGUGCUAAAAUAUGAAUCCCCUGACGCAUCUGACCAGCGGUGAAGCUCUUCUUUAGCGGAAUUAAGCCAGUCGGUAAAUUCAUGAACUGCAUCGAGGUAUAGUAGAUGGUCCUUAACAAUAUCUUCCACUCUUUUCAUUUUUUCCUAUAAGUGAAAAGGAGAUUUUGUUGAAUGCAGUGUUUACAAUUCAAUGAGUUAGUUCUGCCAGAGGACCUAUAUUUGUCUAGUUUCUACCCAAGAAAACAGACCUCAGUGACAUCUCACCCCUCUACCUCCUGGAAAGCCUCAGUGAUGGUGGGGAUGGGAAGUGCCCCUGCCCUGCCGAACUAUUGGUUUGAACCCAGAAAAGCUGUGGUUAAGUCUUAAUUAUGAUUUAGGCAAACAAGUCAUCUUCAAACCAUGGUUUAUGAUCCUAUUUGUUUUCUUAAUUAACUAUCAGAAUUAACCACAGUGCUGGGUGUGGGCAUACUACCAAACAAUGCUUGACUGAAAAUGAAUGUGAAAGCUUCCAAUCUUUCAAUCUUCCAAUCUUUCCAAUCUAACCCUUGCAGUUGUGCCAGAAUAAGAGAGGAGAGGAGGACACACAAGCAUGGACUUGUGCAUAUAAUAAUAAACCACAGUUUAGUUUUAUACUAGAACUGAAUCAGAUCACUGUGAGUAUAAAUUAUGUGAAUGCUGGCAAUGUAUAUUGUUUCAAUAAUAUGGUUCUCUAUAGUGGUAGAGUAUGACUAGCCCUCAAGAUGUUGUUGUACUCUAAUUCUCAGCAGUCCCAGUCAAUAUGGUUAAUAGGGAUGGUGGGAGUUGUAGUCCAAUUUUUUUUUAGAAGGCACCACACUGGCUACCCCAAUACAGGGCCUCUUUGCUCUAGCUACACACAUGAUGAAAUAUUCUUGUAACUGCAGCAUUAUGCUUUAGUCCAAAGGAAUAUACAUGAUGAGUCACACAUAUCUUAUGACUGAAUCGUUCCCUUGCAUCCCAAGAUAGCAGAGCUGUUUGAUUCUUUCAGGAUUUCCUUAUCCAAUAAGCAAUGUCAGAUAAUGGAACAUAUUUACUCCUGGAACUCACUGCAGUGAACUCUUGCUUGAAGCCACAGAACAGACAAGAUAAACAUCUACUUAAUUUUUUUGUUUGUUUGCUUUCUUGAGUAUUGAAUUGCAAAAACUCUAUGUUUUCCCAGUUACAAAAUAUUUAUUCUCUACUAUAUUUCCAAUAACUUUCUGUCAAUAUUUGCCUGUCCUUUCAUGAUAAAUAGAACCAAUUGUAUUGGAAUAAUCCAGACUCAAAUCUUAAUUCCUCCUGAGUUCUCUGACAGGUUUUAAGCAUCUCAUGCUACUGUAUAAGGUCAGCAUAGUGCAAACUUGAUGCCUGUCCCUUUCACUCUCCUUCUCGGUGUGUUGCAGUAACUCAGUUGGAUGGAAGUUAGAUCAGUGGCACAGCUGCAACAUGGUGUCCCCUGCUGAUGCUGCUCAGCUACUCCAAAGAAUUUAAAAACAUUUAAGCACAGCGCCUUGGAUUAAUAUACUUCUAUCUAUAUGGCAUCAUACAUCAUAUUUACCUUGACUACCGUUGCAAUGUCACUGAACUGGAUUUUUAGCUCCUCUUGAGUAGCUUCUAUGAAAGAAUCAUCCUCUGUUUUCUCGUACAGUUCUCUGGCUUUAUCCAUGAGCUGGUGCAAGUCUUUAGAAUGGUUUUCCACUUCCGCAACAAUAGUCUGGAAAUGGUCCAGCAGGGAGAAUUUCUCUUUCAGGCCAUUCUGAGGCUCCAAAGGCUGCUCCACUUUGUGGUCUACCGACUCCAGCCACUGGUCUAGCUGACUUUUCCUCUCCAGAUAUUCAUCCCACUGAUGAAUCACAGACUCAAGCAAGCUUGCAGUAAAGAAAUACACAGCGUAUUUAAAAUCUUACACCAUUUAAGAGAAUGAACUAGAUUUAGGGCUGCUGUAAAACACCUCCAGCCAAUUCAGCCCCCACCUCCCAAAAUCACAGGUGGCAACUGGGAAAGGAAAUUUUGUUAUUAUUGAGGAGUGAGGGGGAAAUAAUCAAAAUGAUUUGGGGGAGGAGAAGGUUACAUGUCUCUUACUUAACCUUUUUCAUGAACAGUAGUUUGUUUCCUUCUCAUACAACCCCCUUCUUAUUCUUGAAAAGGACAUGUUUUACACAGAAGACUGGCCAGUAGCCAUCACUGCCAUGCCUCAAAGGCACUCUGCUCAGAACUGGCUAGUUGGUUUUGGCUGGCCCUUCUCUCCCAUAGCAGCCUGCCAGGCUCCCAUUCCUCAAUGUUCUGGAGGGCCUCAUUGACCUUCCAGAGGCACUUUGUCAGGGUGCAGGCAGAUGCAAGAUCAAGGAGGGGACCAGAAACUUUUCCUGCAUGAACUUCCUUCCUUUCACUUACCUUAGAAUCCAAACCAAUGCAAACCAGUCCUAAGCGAAUUAAUGAAUCAAUCACCAAGUAAGAUGACCUCUCAGUGAAGAAAAUUACCAAACAAUGAUGAUGUAUACAGUAUGUAGAAACAGAAAUAACUUACCUUUGACAGCUCAGUGAGGUAUUGAUAAUGCUGCUCCAGAGAUCUUUUAAUGUUUUCAGUUGGGUCUGUAUUGCUUUCUGCCCUUCCUCAUUGCUACUUUUAAGGGCUUGUUCACCUUUGCCAAUGGCCAUAUUUAACUUGACCUCUCCCUCACCUUUCAUUAAAAGGAUCUCCUAGGAAGCAAAAGAACUGUAAAGCUUCAAUAGUUUACCCACAAGAAGAAUGCCACCCAUCAUGUUUUGAAACCAAGGCUGUAUCAUAUGUGACAUUAGAAAGGAUUACCUGCGUAGUUUUUUUCAAUGGACAAUACUGAAUUCUAGAUUCCUCUUAGCAACCCCUUACAGGAUUAUUAUAGAAUUACAAUAAUAGUUCAGCCUGAUCUAGCUUUUAAACUGUUGUCAUAACUAGCACUAAAGAUGAAAGAAUAUAUUGGGUACCCUUGGCCAGUAAGCCACAGAAACAAAUGGAUAUGUUCUCCUUUUGAAAGCAAGGGGAAUUUUGUCUCUUAGAGUGGAGGAGUAAUUCUGAUUACCAUUUGACCUGCUUGAGGGAUGGUGAAGGUAAUGAUGCUUUUGUUGCCUGUUACUACUCAUGGUGGAUCCUUUUAAAAAAAAACACUGUGGCUGUUAUUUUAGUCUUUAAUUUUAGAGUUCACUUCGUGGUCACUUGUGUUUUGAUUUAACAGCUGAAUAUUAUUCUCUUCAAAAGUGACACAAGGUUACAAGUGAGGAAAUAAGGACAAUCCUGUAUUUUCAGUAACCCAUUUUUGUCUUUGAUCUCUGUUAACUAGAGCUAGCCAACCUAGCAGUUCUAAAGCACUUCAAAGUGCGAGUAGAUAAAUUGGUACCGCUACAGCGGGAAGGUAAACGGCAUUUCCGUGCGGUGCUCUGGUUCACCAGAAGUGGCUUAGUCAUGCUGGCCACAUGACCUGGAAGCUGUACGCCGGCUCCCUCAGCCAAUAAUGCGAGAUGAGCACCGCAACUCCAGAGUCGGUCACGACUGGACCUAAUGGUCAGGGGUCCCUUUACCUAACUAGAGCUUGCGUUUUAUCUGGAUUUAGGAAGUGUAUGAGGAUAAGCAUUUGAAACCUUUGCCAACCUGGGUGCCUCACAUGCUUUGGACUACAACUCCCAUCAGCCCCCACCAACACAAGUGCUGGCAAUUGUCACAAAAACAUCUGGAGGGUACCCACAAAUAAUAAUAAUAAUAAUAAUAAUAAUAAUAAUAAUAAUAAUAAUAUAUUUAUACCCCGCCCAUCUGGCUGGGUUUCCCCAGCCACUCUGGGCGGCUUCCAACAGAAAUAUUAGAAUACACUAAUUUCUUAAAGAUUAAAAGCUUCCCUAAACAGGGCUGCCUUCAGAUGUUCUCUAAAAGUCUGGUAGUUAUUUUUCUCUUUGACAUCUGGUGAGAGGGCGUUCCACAGGGCGGGUGCCACUACCGAGAAGGCCCUCUGCCUGGUUCCCUGUAACUUGGCAUCUCACAGCGAGGGAACUGCCAGAAGGCCCUCGACGCUGGACCUCAGUGCCCGUGCAGAGCGAUGGAGGUGGAGACACUCCUUCAGGUGUACUGGACCGAGGCCGUUUAGCAAACAGUUCUGAUACAAACAGUUCCGUGAUUUUGAUACUUCACCUGAAUUUGCACAAGGCGUUUCUCCAACACGACUUUGCUCCCAAUGGUGCCCUCUGCAGAGGCCAGCUUUUCUUGCACAUCUUUCACCCAGGUCCACAUACCCUGCAGAGCUUCUUCUAAUGCUUGGUGUUCCUGGAGAGCCACCUGAGAGGUCUUCAGCUUUUCCUUCACUGCCUUGAUUAGGUUAUGGUAACCAGAGAAAUGCUGAGAAGCCAGGCGGACCUCCUUCCCAGUGCUAUAUCCUUUCUCAUUUAAAACCUGUGACUUCUGGGUCAGUUUAUCAAAGGAUUCUCUAAACAAAAAUGGAGAAGAAAGCUUAUGGAGUUACACAUAUCGCUGUGUAGAUAAGAGUAUAACAAUGAAAAACUAUGGACAAUGUUCAUUAUUGCAAUAUAGUUCCAAUAUGAAUGGUAAAAGACUCACAUAAGGAUACAUGGACAAAACUGUUAUCAUAAUAUAAUAGUGGGCCUCAUAGUCACAUGCUAAACUGAAUCCUUAGUCCUUAAUAAGAAUGUGGUUGUUAAGGGGACUGAAACUUGCUAGAUUGUUGAUGUACUUAUGUGCCACAACUCACUUAUGGCAACGGAACAAAACCUGUAUGGUGGAUGAGAAACGGUUCCCUGAACCUAUUGCAAACUUCCCUUAACUACUAAGCUAUCUUGAAUAAAAAAGUUCAGCACUAGACCCAUAUGCAUAUCUCACUUGUUUCUUGAUUUCGGUACAUUUUUUAUUUGUCA